UCACUGUGUCCAGGGUUGGAGAAGUUUGCAGGUCGUCAAGAAAAUGUAAUUCUUCGAGACAGAAACGGUAAUACUUCACCGAUAAGUGUGCAUUGUAAAUACAUCUAAUGAGUUAUGAGUUGCUAGCUCGCGCUUCUCUUUUGAGUAUACUUUUAAACGACGUUUAGCUAGUUAACUAGCUAGUAACGUUAGCCGAACGUUAGCUUGUAUCGCUGCACGUGGAUGUCCCUGUUCGGUAAUUGGCUAGGUCAACUGAAGAAAGGGAGUUUAGGUGAAAGGACCAGUGUGGACCUGAUGGCAUGUACGUGAUGCAUUUCUGUUAUAUAAUUAAGUGAAUAGCCAUCCCAAUGAUUAUAUCAAUCACUACCCAUCUGACCCAUUCAUAUGUUUGGGAAAGAUUAUUCAUGAGCUUCUAAAUGAGGGUUUUUGGCAUUUUAUUCCCAUCGGAAGAGCUUGCUGCUCCUGUGUGAAAGUAACUUUACUUUAACAUCUGCUUUGUUCUUUCAGGGUCGACCUGCUGCGGUGAAAGUGAGUAGAGAGGAUUCUCGAAACAUCUAGCAAAAGCACGUGACCGGUUUGUAUUUAUUUUGAGAGAAUUCAUUACCAAAUAAACACAUUGUGAAGCAGAA